AGGAUUCUUUUCCGCCCCGAGCGGAGACCGGCGGACCUGGGCGUGGCGGGAGGUGCCCUCCGCAGCCGCUUUCUCGGUUGGGUGUUUGAAGUGGGAGACAGCGUCCCCUGAGGAAGCUGCUGCGGCUUUCUGGGCUAGGUGGUCAAGUUUCCGGGGAGAACAGCGCGGCAAGGGCCGUGGUGAUUUGAACACGCCGGUUGGCUCGAAGGCUUUUGUUAUGACCGUCAGAGCAGGGCCUCAGAUUUCCUUCCCAGAUGUUCCCGCGUUCACGCUCGGUGAUGACCUCGGGGCUCCUCACUCGUGGGUCCGGGUCUUGCUCUUGCCCAGGCUGGAGUGGAAUGGCGUGAUCUCUGCUCACUGCAACCCCCACUCCGGGUUCAAAGGAUUCUCCUGCCUCUGCCUCCCAAGUAGCUGGUACUUCGGGCGCCCGCCACCACGCCCUGCUAAUUUUUUCUAGUUUUAGUAGAGACUGGUUUUCACUGUGUUGGCCAGGCUGGUCUCGAACUCCUGGCCCCAGGUGAGCCGUCCACCUUGGCCUUCCAAUGUGCUGGGAUUAGCCACCAGGCCCAGCCGAUUUUCCUACAAUUUUUAAUCUCACCUCUAACUUAACCGGUAUUUAAGAUUUUAAACAUGAAAAAGUCAAUUCGCUCUUCAUGAGGACCUAAGACUGUUCUGUUGCUUAUAGAUUUGCUUCGACAGUUGUGCUGUAUUAGAUUAAAAGACAGGGAGAGAGAGAGAGUGCGCGCCAGGCCACUUCCUUAAACUGAAAUAAUGCAUCCGAGUAUGUAUUUCUCUUGCUUCAAGUGCUGCUCAGAUAUUGUAAUGUAACUUAUCCAGAAUAGUCCUAGGUUUUCUUUUUUGGAAAAAUGCACAGAAAGCCUUUCAUUCACGAUGCAGGACACAGCUGAACUUCAUUGGAAGAGACAGUAUUAAUUAAUUCUCCUAAUGAUCUAGACACAAAGAAACUCAAUAAAAAUGUUACUGGGGUACAAAG